rnacentral:rRNA from 1 species
AACGAACGCUGGCGGCAUGCCUAACACAUGCAAGUCGAACGAGACCUUCGGGUCUAGUGGCGCACGGGUGCGUAACGCGUGGGAACCUGCCCUUAGGUUCGGAAUAACUCCCCGAAAGGGGUGCUAAUACCGGAUAAUGUCUUCGGACCAAAGAUUUAUCGCCUUUGGAUGGGCCCGCGUUGGAUUAGCUAGUUGGUAGGGUAAAAGCCUACCAAGGCGACGAUCCAUAGCUGGUCUGAGAGGAUGAUCAGCCACACUGGGACUGAGACACGGCCCAGACUCCUACGGGAGGCAGCAGUGGGGGAUAUUGGACAAUGGGCGAAAGGAUGAUCCAGCAAUGCCGCGUGAGUGAUGAAGGCCUUAGGGUUGUAAAGCUCUUUUACCCGGGAUGAUAAUGACAGUACCGGGAGAAUAAGCUCCGGCUAACUCCGUG